UAGAUGAAAAGUUCAAGGAAGGGAGUCAUGUUCGAGUUCGUGUUCUUGGCUUUAGGCAUCUAUAAGGAUUGACAAUGGAUGUUUUAAAGGUGACACUGGCACACUUCCUUUUCUCUGCCAUUAUUAUAUUAUGUCAAGCUCACCAAAGAUCGACAGAAGAAACCAAUCCCUUGGAAACAAUGGCAAUCAUUGGCAACAAGGAGAUCAUUGACAUUAACCAAGGU